rnacentral:rRNA from 1 species
CACGUAGGCACCAAGCGUUGUCCGGAUUUAUUGGGCGUAAAGAGCUCGUAGGCGGUUGAGUAAGUCGGGUGUGAAAACUCUGGGCUUAACCCAGAGCCGCCACCCGAUACUGCUCUGACUUGAGUUCGGUAGGGGAGCAGGGAAUUCCUAGUGUAGCGGUGAAAUGCGCAGAUAUUAGGAGGAACACCGGUGGCGAAGGCGGGUCUGUGGGCCGAUACUGACGCUGAGGCACGAAAGCGUGGGGAGCAAACAGG